GACGAACGCUGGCGGCGUGCCUAACACAUGCAAGUCGAGCGGAGUUGACAAGAGGAAGUUUUCGGAUGGAAUCUUGUCAAUUUAGCGGCGGACGGGUGAGUAACGCGUGAGCGACCAACCUUGCACAGGGGGAUAACGGACCGAAAGGUUCACUAAUACCGCAUGAGACCACGGUGUUGCAUGACACAGGGGUCAAAGGAGGAAUCCGGUGCAAGACGGGCUCGCGUCCGAUUAGGUAGUUGGAGGGGUAACGGCCCACCAAGCCUAUGAUCGGUAGCCGACCUGAGAGGGUGAUCGGCCACAUUGGAACUGAGAUACGGUCCAAACUCCUACGGGAGGCAGCAGUGGGGAAUAUUGGGCAAUGGGGGAAACCCUGACCCAGCAACGCCGCGUGAAGGAAGAAGGUUUUCGGAUUGUAAACUUCUGUCCUUGGUGAAGAGAAGAAGACGGUAGCCAAGGAGGAAGCCCCGGCUAACUACGUG
rnacentral:rRNA from 1 species